AUUGAACGCUGGCGGCAUGCCUUACACAUGCAAGUCGAACGGUAACGCGGGGCAACCUGGCAACGAGUGGCGAACGGGUGAGUAAUGUAUCGGAACGUGCCCAGUUGUGGGGGAUAACUGCUCGAAAGAGCAGCUAAUACCGCAUACGACCUGAGGGUGAAAGCGGGGGAUCGCAAGACCUCGCGCAAUUGGAGCGGCCGAUAUCAGAUUAGGUAGUUGGUGGGGUAAAGGCCUACCAAGCCUACGAUCUGUAGCUGGUCUGAGAGGACGACCAGCCACACUGGGACUGAGACACGGCCCAGACUCCUACGGGAGGCAGCAGUGGGGAAUUUUGGACAAUGGGGGCAACCCUGAUCCAGCCAUGCCGCGUGCGGGAAGAAGGCCUUCGGGUUGUAAACCGCUUUUGUCAGGGAAGAAAUCCUUUGAACUAAUACUUCGGAGGGAUGACGGUACCUGAAGAAUAAGCACCGGCUAACUACGUGCCAGCCGCCGCAGUAACAC
rnacentral:rRNA from 1 species